UACGAAGGGGGCUAGCGUUGCUCGGAAUCACUGGGCGUAAAGAGCGUGUAGGCGCCUGAUAAGUCGGCUGUGAAAGUCAAGGGCUCAACCCUUGAAUGCCGGCCGAUACUGUCAGGCUAGAGUCCGGAAGAGGCGAGUGGAAUUCCUGGUGUAGCGGUGAAAUGCGCAGAUAUCAGGAGGAACACCCGGUGGCGAAGGCGGGUCUCUGGGCCGAUACUG
rnacentral:rRNA from 1 species